CAGGAGUGCUGAUUGGUCUGAGCUGUCUUAUUGUGGGAGCCAUAUUCCUGAUACACUAUGACCCAACCCAAGAAUGCAGAAGGCUCCAGACAACGACUUGGACUCAGGACGUGAUGGGCAGCAGUCCAAAUGGAAGCAAAAAAACUUCUCACAGAGAUGGCCAGCCUUUGAGAGUGGUGUUAAAGGGAACGUAAGAGCCGUGUAAACUGGACUGAUGCCCAUCGACGUUGUUCUGGCAUACAGCUUGACAGAGGGGGAAAUCAAAGAGCCCCGGCUGAUGUAACUGAUAACCGAGAUGGAAUGGUCACACUAAUGUAUGAUCACAGAAGAAGGUCUCCAAAUGCUCGUCAAGGUUCAUGGCACUGCUCUCCCUGGUGAACUGGACUUUUCCCUUGAGGGUCCGUUUAAAGCAGAGAUUCACCUCAUGAACAACAGACGGUACAUAUACGGUC
ensembl:lncRNA